rfam:Aedes aegypti strain Liverpool supercont1.1569 genomic scaffold, whole genome shotgun sequence.
GGCUCGGUAGCUUAGUUGGUAAAGCGCUCGUCUAGCAUACAAGAGUCCUGGGUUCAAAUCCCAGCCAAGCAC